rnacentral:rRNA from 1 species
UACGUAGGGUGCGAGCGUUAAUCGGAAUUACUGGGCGUAAAGUGUGCGCAGGCGGCCGCGCAAGUCGAGUGUGAAAGCCCCGAGCUUAACUUGGGAAUUGCGCUCGAAACUACGUGGCUGGAGUGUGGCAGAGGAAGGUGGAAUUCCAGGUGUAGCGGUGAAAUGCGUAGAGAUCUGGAGGAACACCGGUGGCGAAGGCGGCAUCCUGGACCAAUUCUGACACUGAGGAGCGAAAGCCAGGGGAGCAAACGGG